rnacentral:lncRNA from 1 species
UAGAUUUCCCUUUUCCAUGAAAAAAAAAAUACUGAUUGUUAAAUAUCUUGUUUAACCAAUAAUUAAAUAUGUUUUAUUAAUGAACACCAAAGACAAUUUUUGGAUUUAGAAAUACUUUUUUAAAACUGAGUAUAAAACUCUUACAUAGUGUUUGAUGUGAUUGAAGUCUUCCUCUGGUUUCACAAACAGCAAUUAAACUUUCAAGGUCUGCCAGCAGAGUUUUUGUUUGUUUGACAUGUUUGUAAUUUUGCAUUACACAUUUGUAUUUUAUCACAAUCUUAACAGCAUGACAAGUUUGUAUUAGAAUAAUAAGUUAGGAUAGUAUAGUUGAGUAGUUUUUGUUUUCCAAAAUAUGUGAAGUCAGUGGAUAAUUAGUUUUUGAAUACAUAAAAAAUGAUUAGUAUCACAUUAAAACAAGUUGAAUGUCAUAAAUUGUUUCCAGUUGAAAGUAUUAAUUUUGAUUAUCUGGUUUUUAAUUGGUUAUUUGCUGAUAUUAUUAGCACAGUAUGUGCUAAACCUUCUGGUACAACGUGAAAGCAGUAAUAAAAUCUGUAAGCCAUCUAUGAAGGGGACUCUUGCAAAUGUUGAGAUUAUGUGAGCCUGCAGGCUACAUGGCUGUAAUUGACCUUCUGUGAGGCUAGAAUUCUGCAAUCCUUCCUGUAUGCUCAGCAAACAAGAUUGGAUUUCUCAAUGUUUAUAUUUGUUGACUGAUACUUUUAAGUUAGCAAUGUUCCUGCUUGUAUCAUUGUUCUUUGGAUAUGAAAUGCAAAAUUACAUCUUAGUUUCUAUCUUUUUUUUUUUUCUGCUAGGGAUUUAGCUACAAAGAUAUUUUUGAAAUGACUACCCAGUAAAUAUUGCUGAAUGUUCUUAGUUUCAACACGUUUAUUCCUUCCUCUGUGAAAAUAUACUUAACUCUACUUGUGGUCCUGUGAAUGCAAAUUUAAUUCAGUUAAUUUUUUUCACCUUCUAGUUUGGUAGUUUUACACUUCUUAGCUAGUUAAUGGUUAUAAUAGAUAUCUUAUCAGAAAUAUUUAAAUUUAUAAAUCCUGAAUUUAAUUGCUGUCUCUUCCUUCUGUAAAAUACAAGUGCCUUAGACUGUUUUGAUUUGGGAGAAUGGCAUUCUAACAUGUAUACUAUCAUGUAAGAAUCG